AUGUUGGUGGUUCAGUGGUGGAGUUCUUGCCUUCCAUGCAGGAGACCCGGGUUCAAUUCCCAGCCAGUGUA
rnacentral:tRNA from 1 species